UAAACCCAUUUUAAUUUAAGUGGAUUGCUGUUAACCCUACCCAUCAUGGAUUUUGUAUAUCCUGUACCCUCACAAAGAGGUGGGCCACACAGUGUGUGGGUCCCGUCUCCUUGUGAGGUACCAGGCAUGGCCAUCCCUACCCGAGACUAAAGCACGGUCCUUUCCUUUCAGCCAUCAACUACCUUCUUCCUCCUGAAACACCACAACAGCAAUCAUUCUGCAUUUCUACCCCCAAAACAGAACCAAAAUCACCUAGAAAAAUCCUUCAUCUUUUCCAUUUACACCAGCACAGACAGCCCAAAACCUCACCACCUGUAAACUUUCAAAAACGAAGCCCAAGAACCCCAAAAGGAAAACCAGAAAUCCCAGCAGCUAUACAGCCAUUAAAACCCAAAAACAGAGCCCCAGAACCCAGAAAAAUUCCUCCUUUUACCCAUUAAGCGAAGAAAACUAGCAAAGGUCACUCCUUUUUCCACUUAACUAAAAUCCCAACAAGCAACUAUCACCAAGGAACAGCAACUACACUGAGUCCAGAAACAUCGCUCACAACGAAUCAGAGACAUAGAAAAGGAAAAACAUGAAGUAGCAUCAACAAGGAAGGUGAAGGAGAAAAUCAAACUCCACCAGAUGAAUUUAAGAAAUGGGGCAACCCAAAUGAAGAUGGAGAAACAAAGAGCAAACAGAUUCAAAGCAGAACAUACGCAAAGAAAAAUAAAGUAUAACAUCAAAAAAGGUAAUAACUGUUCUUUAUCAUUGAUAAAGUGUUUGCUAAGUUCUGCCUACAUUCCUAUGCUACAUACAUUGUGCUAUUCGUUAUAUGUUCACCAACACACAGCUUGACUCUGGCAUAAAGAGUCUGUACACAUAAUUUUUGUUCAUCCAAGCAUGUACUACUAAACACAAAUUCCACACACAAACACUACACAACAAACACAUACAGAUUCACACCCACACCUAAACCCGUUUUGAAAUAACCCCAAAACCCAAAUCAAAACACACAUCAACACACAUAUCAAAACCCCAAAAUCCUAAUCAGAAAAUCCCUCUCAAACCAAAUCUAAAUCCCAACCCACAUAGAAUCCGAAACAAAGAGAUCAGAAAAUAAAAGAGAAAUAGAUAAGACAAAGCGAGAGAGAGAGAGAGAGAGAGAGAGAGACGCGGCCACCAGUUGUGGUGGCGCCUUUGAGCUGUGCUGUCGUGAAUGGUGGUGGUGCUCAUCUGGUUCAGUCCUAGGCUGACCUCGCGAGAUGAGAGAGUGGGUUUUGGAAGGGAGAAACCCGAGGGUGAGUGCCAUUUCGCUGUGGCUCGUGGUGGCUGUUGGUGGCGCCAUGGAGGUGUGGCUGUGGAGAUUUAGCUGGUGAACGGUGGCAGGGCUUAAGGGUUUCGGCCAUAUGGGUUUAGGUCUGUGCGAAGAGAAAGAGAGAGUGCGAGAAAGCUCGAGUUCUGGCCAUGGAGGUCUGAAUGUGAGAGAACUGCACUCGGUCUGUUUUGAGCACAGAUUUGAUCCACAAUUAAGCCUAAACAAGCCCACACCUUCACAACCCACAUUCAUUUGAAACAAGCCCAACCCGUGUAUGUAGAUUAAGCCCAAUCCGAAGAUCUAUCUACAUGGUGCCAUUAAAAUAAUGCUAACACAGGUGUAGAUUAUUUGCAGGUAAUAAUAUCUCGGUGUAAACUAAUCUACAAGCUUUUAUUAUUAAGCACAAAAUAAAAUAGUUGUUUGUUUUGUUUUUCCACUCAAUAAUGAAGCAAGAUAAUAUUGAAACUGCAAUUGAAAAUAACAAAUUAAAUUUGAGAAAAAUUAGUGAAGAAAAACACUAUGGAUUCAAAAAUCCACCUAAUAUUUUAUCAUAUAAACUUGGAUUAUUUUUAACUCAAUUAGGGUAGAAAGCCAACUCUCCAAAUCGGAAGAGAAGAUAAAACAAUAAAGCACUCAAGUAAGGUGAAGCAUAGAUUGAAUAUGAGUGAUUGAGCAAAUAAUUCAAUUGGCAUGCUACAAGUGAGAUUAAGCAUUCAAUAUAUUCUCAAAUCAUAAUAAAUUAAGGAGUUCAAGUAUUCGAUAUACAUAAAAAUCAUAUUAAAUCUUAAGUACUACACAUGCAAUGAUUCAAAAUGGUAAAAUUAAUCUUAAAAAUCAAUCAUCAAUCUAUAAAAAGGACAUAGAUAAUCCCCAAUAAUACAUGAUAAAAAUAUUAGGCUUCACUUCUAAACCUUCAAUGGGACAUCUAUGCAAAAGGUUAUGACAAAAAUAUCAAGACAGUGCAACAUAUUUCUAUAGCAUGAUUAUUUUGACCUUUGGAAUCUUGUGGUUACAUGAUUAGUUGAUUAGUUUUAAUUUCCUACAAAAAAAAAAAAUUAAUAAGUAUAUUUAAAAUAAAAUAGAUGUGAUAUAUUGCCUACCAAAACUAAGAUAAUAGUGUAAUUUCAAAUAAUUAUCACUACCAGUCCACACUCACAUUCCUAGCCCAACCCUAAGCCCAUGAUAAAAUUCUCCAAGCCCCAACUCCUCCUUCACACUUUUUUAUUUUUAUUUUUAUGAGAUCCUUCUUCGUACUUUAUUUCAAGCCAAGACCACGCUUAAAUAAAAUAAAACAAAGUCCCUCCAGCCCAAAAAUUCAUUCCUAACUCAGACUCAUCCAUUUUUAAACACUCAAGCCCAAAGGCCCCAAACUAAACAUCUAGCCCCCACACUUUCAAAAAAUUACACAUAGAAGAGUGGGAGGCUGGGAGCAGCCUCACAAGACAGAGAAGAUAGCUUCCCAAAAAAUUACACAUAGCUUCCUGAAAUUACAUUAGACCUGUAAAUUUCCCAAAAUUACACUUCAACCCCAAACUUUCACAAAAUGAAGAUUUUGAUCCAAAACUUUGCUGAAUUACAUUUUCAUCCCCAAAGCCUUUUCUAGAUUACAUAUUCAUACCCAAAACUUUUUCAAAUUGCAUUUUCAACCGCAAAUCUUGUCCAAGUUGCAUUUUGACGCCAACACUUUAAAAUUACAAAAAUUGCAAAAAGGCCCUUUAGGUCAUAAUAAUGCCACUGCAGUCCCAAAUUUUGCCAAAAAAAAAAAAAAAUUUCCUUAAAAAAAUAAUGAAAUUUUCAAAUAACAUUGUUUUCACAUCUUCUAGAAAUUAAAUCAUUUGUGUCCCUCAUUAUUUCUUCAUGUCUUUUGCAUGAGAUAAACUACUUUGGGAGAAGGAAUUGCAAGAUUACACUUGGUAUACUAUGCUAUGCAAUGAGUUCUCUUUCCAAAGACAUAGCUGGUAGUGAGAUCCAUUCAGAUUGAGCUCAUGAUGUUUGGAUGGAUUUGAAGGUACGGUAUAUUCAAAGAAAUGGUCCAAGAUUUCUUGAAUUGAAGAAAGUUUUAGCUUGUCACACUCAAGGUUCACUUAUUGUUGGAGAGUAUUUCACCAAGCUGAAGUGUUUGUGGGAAGAAUUGGUCAGUUAUAGAAUUUUGUCAGCUUGUUCAUGUGGUGCUAUGUUGAAGGUGCAUGAUAUAUUUCAGGAAGAGUAUGUUCUUGAAUUCCUCAUGGGUUUGAAUGAGAGAUAUUCCAAUCUUGAGCGAAAUUCUUUUGCUUGAACCUAUGUCAUCAAUUAUCAAGGUUUUCUUACUAGUUUAGCAAGAGAAAAGGCAGAAAUCUGUAGGCUUAAGAACAAUUAUGUGGUUGAAUCUGCUGUGUUAGCUACCAGAACUGAAAGCUCUUUUGUUCAUUGUUCUAAUUCCAAUAAUAAAGAUCGACCAAUCUGUUCUCAUUGUGGUUUGAAGGGUCACACUAUUGACUAGUGCUAUAGGGUUCAUGGAUUUCCUCCUUGAUAUAGGAAUGGAGGAAGGGAAGGUCAAAUGCAUCAAGCUGCAGUUUUUAUGGUUCCUAGGCCAACACUUGCAUCUGAAGCUCCUAAGCUCACCCUUUCACAGGCACAAUCAUAGUAUCAAGAGCUAAAUAACAUGUAGCUAUUUUAAGUUCUCAAUUUACCGAAAUGGGUACUGCAAGCACAAACCCUCAAGAAUCACAAUCAAUGGUUAAAUUUCCAGGACCACAAGCUGCUUAUGUGAUGACACAGACUUCAGGUUCAUACUCACAGCCUUCAACUUUUGCAGCCUUUGAGGACAUGGCAGGGCCUACAACAAUGACAGACGAUUGGAUUAGGUAGAGCAAAGGGGAAUCCAUACCUUUUGGACACUACUCUUACUACAUAACCUUAAUUUUCUUUUCCAUCCAUUGUUUCCAAUGUUUCUUGUAUGAAUAAUUUUUCAGCAGCUAUGCUUGCAAGUUUUAGUUCCCUACUUUUGUAAAAAAUAAAAGCCAAAGUGUACAUCUAUGGCAUGCCAGGUUGGGGUGUCCCUCCAUGUCUAGGCAAUUGCUCUUUUCUCAUUGUAAUCCUCAAAUUGUUGUUAAUAAUAAUGAGCAAUUUACUUAGACAAUCUGUACUUUGGCAAAGCAUAAAAGGAUACCCUUUCGAAGUGCUAACCACAUGUCUCAGCAUCCUUUUGAUCAUGUUCAUUGUGACACAUGGGCCCUUUUUCAAUUCCUACAUUAGAAGGCUUUAGAUAUUUCCUAACCUUGGUGGAUGACUACAUGGCUUUAUCUAUGAGUUUAAAGUUUGAAUCUUCUAUACAUAUUCCAACUUUCUUUUCUAUGAUUGACACUCAAUUUCAUGCCAAGAUAAAUUGACUCAAAUCAGACAAUGCUCCUGAUCUCAAAUUACUGGAGUUUUUCAAAAAUAAGGGUCAUAAAUUUUCAUUGUUGCUACACCUCAACAAAACUCAGUUGUUGAAAGAAAACAUCAACAUAUUUUAGAAAUGGUUAGAGCAUUAAAAUUUCAAUCUAUUAUACCUAUUCAUUUCUGGGGUGAAUAUGUGUUAAUUGUUGUGUACUUAAUAAGGGUCAUAAACAUCUUAGAGAAACUCCUUGAGUAGUUAAUAUAACAUAUAG